UACGUAGGGUGCGAGCGUUAAUCGGAAUACUGGGCGUAAAGCGUGCGCAGGCGGUUUUGUAAGCCAGAUGUGAAAUCCCCGGGCUCAACCUGGGAAUGGCAUUUGGGACUGCAAGGCUGGAGUGCGGCAGAGGAGACUGGAAUUCCUGGUGUAGCAGUGAAAUGCGGUAGAUAUCAGGAGGAAUACCGAUGGCGAAGGGCAGGGUCUC
rnacentral:rRNA from 1 species